UACGUAGGUGACAAGCGUUGUCCGGAUUUACUGGGCGUAAAGAGCGCGCAGGCGGUCGUUCAAGUCGAGUGUGAAAGCCCCCCGACUCAACUGGGGAGGGUCACUCGAUACUGAUCGACUCGAAGGCAGGAGAGGGUAGUGGAAUUCCCGGUGUAGUGGUGAAAUGCGUAGAUAUCGGGAGGAACACCAGUGGCGAAGGCGACUACCUGGCCUGUUCUUGACGCUGAGGCGCGAAAGCUAGGGGAGCAAACGGG
rnacentral:rRNA from 1 species